GGGCAGCUCCGCGGAGGUGUGGCCGGAAGAGGCGAGGCUAACUGGCAGGCGCGCGGUGGGCCUGGAAACAUGGCGGAGCGCCCGAGGAAGCGUCCGUGUGGUCCGGGUGAACAUGGCCAAAGGGUUGAAUGGCGAAAAUGGAAACAGCAGAAAAAAGAGGAGAAAAAGAAGUGGAAGGACCUCAAGAUAAUGAAGAAACUGGAGCGGCAGCGUGCCCAAGAGGAAGAGGCUAAACGCCAGGAAGAGGAGGAAGAGGCGGCGGCCCAGAGGAGCAACCAAGGACGGCCUUACACUCUGAGUGUGGCCCUGCCAGGCUCCAUCCUGGACAAUGCCCAGUCACCUGAGCUCCGCACCUACCUGGCUGGCCAGAUCGCCAGAGCCUGCACCAUCUUCUGUGUGGAUGAGAUUGUGGUGUUCGAUGAGGAGGGCCAAGAUACCAAGAGUGUGGAAGGAGAAUUCAGGGGAGUUGGCAAGAAAGGGCAGGCAUGUGUCCAGCUGGCCCGCAUCCUACAGUACCUGGAGUGUCCACAGUACCUGAGAAAGGCGUUCUUCCCCAAGCACCAAGAUCUGCAGUUUGCAGGAAUCCUCAACCCCUUGGACAGCCCUCACCACAUGCGUCAGGACGAAGAGUCUGAGUUUCGAGAAGGCGUCGUGGUGGACCGGCCCACCAAGGCAGGCCAUGGCUCUUUGGUCAACUGUGGAAUGAAGAAGCUUCUCUUCAGGAGGUGAAGAUUGACAAGAAACUGGACCCUGGACUUCGGGUGACCGUGCGACUGAACCAGCAGCAGCUCCCAGAAUGCAAGACAUACAAAGGAACAGUUGUGUCAUCACAGGACCCCCGCACCAAAGCUGGUCUCUACUGGGGCUACACUGUCCGGCUGGCCUCUUGCCUCAGCGCUGUGUUUGCUGAGGCUCCCUUCCAGGAUGGGUACGACCUGACCAUUGGGACAUCAGAACGUGGCUCCGACGUGGCCUCUGCCCAGCUGCCCAGCUUCAGGCAUGCCCUUGUGGUGUUUGGAGGCCUCCAAGGGCUAGAAGCUGCAGUGGAUGCUGACCCGAACCUUGAAGUGGCUGACCCCAGUGUCCUCUUCGACUUCUAUGUCAACACAUGCCUUAGCCAGGGCAGCCGUACCAUCCGCACCGAGGAGGCCAUACUCAUCUCGCUGGCUGCUCUGCAGCCUGGUCUCACCCAGGUGGGAUCGAGGCCCGCCUCCCCGCUUUCUGGACCCAGGAUGUAGAGGAAGCAGCAGGACAGGAGGAUCAUGGGAGUAGAGAUGGUCAAGUCUUCUCUCCAAAAAUAACUGCCUUUAAUGUGAGUCAGCCCAUCUCCCCAGGGGCUCCAGUGAGUCCUCCACCAUCACUUGCUGCCAGCAGUGAUAGCCUUGAGGUUUCCAGCUCGAGCCAGAAUAUUGGGCACGAAGAGCAAUCCCGAGGCCCGCUCGAUGCUCUCGAUGGGCACCAGGAACCGCUCCAGAGGGAUGGUCUCAUCCACGGGGGCAUUGGGCAUCACGUAGGAACGUAGCUCGAUCUGCCCACCGGCUGCCUCCAGGAUCAGCACCUUGAAGAAGUGUGUGGGCACUGCCACGUGGUUCUUCCCAAUAACCUGGUACUUCACAUAGGACUUCCCAUCAGCCUCGGUCCUGUGGAUAGACCCGGGCGCAUGGCCAAGAGGCCUGGUUACAUACAAGGUCACCUCUUCCAGGAAGCCUUCCUAACUUCCAACAAGCAAGAAGUUUGUGCUGGGCCUGGUGCCUCCUUGGGUCUGGGAACUAUGUAAGGUGGGGACCAAUGCUUAACCUCUGCUUUUCUGCCCAAUACUGCUUCAGACAGAAUGGGAGGCAAUAAACGCAGCUAGAGGAAUGAGCUCUCUAGACCCUGAUGCUCA